GGCUCACGUAGGCUUAGGAGAAUGAAACUUCAGUAUAUUUUAAUCUGAAUAAUUCUUCAGGAUUUAAAAUUAAUUGGCUCUGGUUGGGUUGGGCCAGAUUGAGAUCUCGCCACCUCUCCGGUGCCCGAGUCACUGGCUAAGAGGUGAUUUUUUUUCCCCCCGAACUGGGUUUAUGCGCGUCCCCCUCACCCCCUCCUCUCUUUUUCUUUCUCUCUGUCCCUGUCCCCUCUCUCGUUGGCUUUUUAAACAUGAGAAACCGUUCCCUGAACGUUCCGGACAGAGCACAGAAUUGCUUAAGUCAGCCCGGCGCGGUUGCAAUAGACAGCAAAAAGGUAAACGUUUUCCUGAAAGCCGCACGCCAGCUCCACCGCCCCGCCCGAUGAUUUUCCUCUCCCUUGCUUGGGCUUGCUGUGUUCUCAUUCUAAACCAUAUGACCUACUCUUCGCCUGAUCCUGCGAAUGUUCCUGGCACUGCAAUUUGACGAUAGUUUAAGCACUACUCCAGUUUCCUCAGCAUGCUGCCUACACCUGGAGAAGUAAGGAUCUAAUUGCACACCACAAUGUCGUAAGACCAUGAGCCCUGGUGAACUCAACAUCCAGCUUCUCCACUAGCAAUAGCGUGGGCACCUUCCUGAUGAGACUUUGCUCAACUCCAAAGGACUCCCAGGUGGAAUUUUCCUUUCAAGCUGCUAACCCUUCUUUGCUACGGAUGUUCCUGAAGAAGGAAAGAUGGGGCCCUUCUCUAAGGAGCUCUUCUAUCAGAGAGGAAUCCUUCAUGUGCACCUGGUUGUCUUCCUCUUUCCUCUCCAAGCCUUGUGAACAAACAGCGUGAUUCCGAUGCAUGCUGGAGUUUGAGAACUAUUGCGACGGAGUAAAGAUCCUUGUCAAAGAGUUGCAACAGAGAGGCAUCGUUCACCAGUUCCGAGACUCCUCAUGGUGUAAGUCGGGACUGGAUGAUUAGGAAUCAUGCUGAUCUGGCCCACUGGAGCAGCCAAACUUUCAGGGAUUGGUGAGCAUCAGGUAAA